rnacentral:rRNA from 1 species
CGUGGGUAACCUGCCUUAUAGUGGGGGAUAGCCUUUCGAAAGGAAGAUUAAUACCGCAUAAGAUUGUAGUAUCGCAUGAUAUAGCAAUUAAAGGAGCAAUUCGCUAUAAGAUGGACCCGCGUCGCAUUAGCUAGUUGGUGAGGUAAUGGCUCACCAAGGCGACGAUGCGUAGCCGACCUGAGAGGGUGAUCGGCCACCAUUGGGACUGAGACACGGCCCAGACUCCUACGGGAGGCAGCAUG